rnacentral:rRNA from 1 species
UACGGAGGGUGCAAGCGUUAUCCGGAUUCACUGGGUUUAAAGGGUGCGUAGGCGGGCAGGUAAGUCAGUUGGUGAAAUCCUAGAGCUUAACUCUAGAACUGCCAUUGAUACUAUCUGUCUUGAAUAUUGUGGAGGUAAGCGGAAUAUGUCAUGUAGCGGUGAAAUGCUUAGAUAUGACAUAGAACACCUAUUGCGAAGGCAGCUUACUACGCAUAUAUUGACGCUGGAGGCAACGAAAAGCGUGGGGGAUCAAAACAGG